ACAAUUGGUACAAAUGGUACAACUGAAAUAUAAUAGUACAAUUGAAACAACUAGUACAACUAACAUAUGAAUAGGGACAACUAGACAACUGGUACAACUGAUACAUAAAUAGGGACAACUAGACACUGAUACAUAAAUAGGGACAACUAGACAACUGGUACAACUGAUACAUAAUUAUAAACCCUAGCGCCAUCAUCGUCUCUUCUUGCUUUGUUCAUUGUCCACCGCCGCCGAUUCUCUUCCGCCACCAAUUCUCCUCCACCACCGAUUCUCCUCCACCACCGAUUCUAAGCCGAUUUGGAGAAAUCUAGAUCGGGAUUAUUGUUAAUCUCAGAUCUGUGAGAAAAACGAAGAUCUAUGGAUCUAGAAUGAGAAGAUCGAAGAGAGGAAAGAAAGAUCCAUGGAGAAAAAGAGAUUUAGAGUUUUGUUGAUGGUUAGAAGAGGAAGAAGAGAUAGAUUUCGAAAAAUCUAGAAGAAGAAGAAGAAGAAGAAGAAGAAAGAGAUGAAGGAGGAGAAAAGUGAAAGAUUUCGAAAAAUCUAGAAGAAGAAGAAGAAGAAAAAGAAGGAGAUGAAGGAGAAAGAGAUGAAGGAGAAGGAGGAGAGAAGCGUGAAAGUGGAAGAGAAGAAGAAGAGAAAAUAAUUAUGUUGUUAG
rnacentral:lncRNA from 1 species